rnacentral:rRNA from 1 species
CGCGUAGGCGGCCUGCUAAGUCUGGAGUGAAAGUCCUGCUUUCAAGGUGGGAAUUGCUUUGGAUACUGGUGGGCUGGAGUGCAGGAGAGGAAAGCGGAAUUACCGGUGUAGCGGUGGAAUGCGUAGAUAUCGGGAGGAACACCAGUGGCGAAGGCGGCCUACUGGGCACCAACUGACGCUGAGGCUCGAAAGUGUGGGUAGCAAACA